UCAAUGUUGUCUGACAAAUGUAUUUUUGUUAGUAAUCUGUGUGUUAUUUAUGAAUAUUGUAUGAUCUGGAAAUAACAGUAUAUAUUCCUAUAAAGACUAUUCAUCUUUUCUCUCUUAAAACUAAAGAUCAAAGACAAUAAAGGAUUCUGGGAAGAUAUUGUCUCAACCAAUGUUGAUAACUCUCUAGGGAAAAUUACUGAGGUGACUGUAACUGUGGGGAAUUGUGUCUGUAUACCGUUUAAUCUGGAAAACACUGCCGUGAUUUUAAUCCUGUGUUUCAUUUUAGAGGAACAACAGAUCAAAACACAGAAAAGAUCAUAAGCAAUCUCAAAAGGAGAUGGAAGAGGAAGAGAGCAAGAUGGAGUGAGAACCCACAGGAGGAAGACAUGAGGGGCCUGGAUCAGCUGCUAGACCAUGAAGAUCAGCGAGAAAUGUCUUGAUCAACCCACAAAACUGCAUAUAAAAAGUGAACGUACAUUUUGUUAAGCUAACACAAUAUAAAAUAUGGGUUCUAUUCAAGCUUAUUUGUGUUCUGUUAAUUUUCUAUUAUAUUUCAAAAUACUUUUCAUUUAAUAUUGAUUAUUAUGAAUGGAUUAAUUUCCAUAAUGCCUCUUAACAAAGCCACAUCAAGGUUAACAUUGGCCCACAGCCUGUAAAUCCUGGGUGCACCUCCAUUGCUCACACACAUUGCUCGUGUCUGACAUAAAGUGAGACAGGUCAAAGGGGGGCUUAUCUCUAAUGUUCAGAUUAACACUUUUUUAUUUUGAAGGAGCAAUUUACACAAUGUAGCAUGGAAGUAAGUACCAGUACCCUGACCUUAACUCUUUUAUUUAGCUAUCUUUAACUGUUCAGAGAAAGCUAGUUUACUAGAUAGUGGUAGUGGUGCUGUUGUCCUUGUUUUCCUCUAACAUUUCAUUAUUUUGCUGUCUAACACUCAGCUCCCUCUGUCCUAAAAUAUCCUGUGACGUCUGAAUUUUUUAAUGUUUUUUCUCCCACGCACUUCGUGAUAUAUUAGCUACACAAGAUAUUGCUGUAUUUCAUAUAAGGGAAUUUAAAUAAUCACUUAGAUUUAAACUAAUCAUUUAACAUGUUUCAAAAAUUUAUGAAGGGUAGUUGUUGUCAUUGGAUUACACAAAGGAUGCAACGAUGGUCACCAGUCAUGGUAGUUUAUCACCAUUCAUUUUUGUUUAUUUGUUUGUGUUUCAUUCAUUAAAUGCCUUUCCUCUCCUUAGAGAUUGCUGUGAUCUAAUUAUUUAUUUCUUGUUUAGUCCACCAUGUUUUCAGGCCCUCCAGCCCAGGACUCUGGGUAUUAGUCUUAAAGAAAUAGACAUUAAUGUAUUAUUAAAGUGAAUGUUUGUAAUGCAGAUUAUAAAUGAUACUUUAUGGUGAGCUUCAC